GGCCCCAUCGUCUAGAGGCCAAGGACGCUAGGCUUUCAUCCUGGUAACACGGGUUCGAAUCCCGUUGGGGUCACCA
rnacentral:tRNA from 1 species